UGAAUGGGUAGGCAGCUCAGGUGUGGCCAAACCCAAUUAGGGUCCAGCUGGCCCUGAUAAAAGGGCUGGGAGCUAGACAGGGGGAGUCUCACUCCAGUGGUGGAGUGGGAAGGACCUGGCUGCUGGCUAGAACAGGGUCUCUCAAACAGAGCAGUGCCGGGGAAGGACAGACAGAGCUGGGGAACUCUGGCCAGACAAGUUCCCAGGCUGAGGCUGUACUAAAAGGGCCUGUGGUGGUACUGAGGCUGUAGUGGUGCAGCCAGGCCAGGAAAGGCAGCAGGUCCAAACCCCUGGCCAAUGAUGAGCGGCCAUUUCAAACUACAGUUUUCCCCUGAGAAAAGGGGCUAGAUGAAGACUAGCAGCUGGUCACUGAGGGAAGGUGGGCUUUGGGGAAUUGGGAUUCCCCAGGGAGGGGCGUAUCCCUUAGCGUGGGGGGCACUGCUGAGGGGCCAUAUUCCAGAGAAGGGGCACUGCGGGCCAGGAGGGACGUGGGGCUAGAACUAAAGGGUGGUACUAGAGAAAGAAGCAGGCGGCAGUGAGGGAGACACUGGCCAGCAGGAGGCACUCCAAAGCUGGAAGAGCUAAAUUCCCAGAUCAACCAGCAGGAGGUGCUGCGCCGGUGCUCAGACGGGGAGGCCCCCAGGACCUAGACUGGGAAGGCGGAGGAGAUGGAGGCUGGAACAGCUUCUUAGCCUGCUGAGGAGUAUGAAGGCCCAAGGAGUGGAGGGUGGCACGGGGGCCUUCAAGGCCAUGGAGCCUUGAGUCCGUGAGCUCAGAGAAGAGUCUGUAGCGUCUCUAAGCCAUCUGGAGGGCCCCUCUCGCCACCGCUGUGCCUUCAUCUACAAAAGCGGUGAACUCCUGGGCUUGGUCCUGUGGGAGGGCCUCCUUGAAUUUGUAAGGGAGUCCCACAUAUUAAAAUUGUACCUACCUAACAAGGCCUGGUGGUUAGACACCCAAAAUUGCAGGCUGGACAUCGAAUAAACUUUUGUGCCAAACAAA